CCUACGGGAGGCAGCAGUGAGGAAUAUUGGUCAAUGGACGCAAGUCUGAACCAGCCAUGCCGCGUGCAGGAAGACGGCUCUAUGAGUUGUAAACUGCUUUUGUACGAGGGUAAACGCAGAUACGCGUACCUGUCUGAAAGUACCGUACGAAUAAGGAUCGGCUAACUCCGUGCCAGCAGCCGCGGUAAUACGGAGGAUUCAAGCGUUAUCCGGAUUUAUUGGGUUUAAAGGGUGCGUAGGCGGUCUGAUAAGUUAGAGGUGAAAGCCCGAGGCUCAACUUCUGAAUUGCCUGUGAUACUGUUAGGCUAGAGAGUAGUUGCGGUAGGCGGAAUGUAUGGUGUAGCGGUGAAAUGCUUAGAGAUCAUGAAGAACCCCGAUUGCGAAGGCAGCUUACCAAGCUAUUUCUGACGUUGAGGCACGAAAGCGUGGGGAGCAAACAGGAUUAGAUACCCCAGUAGUC
rnacentral:rRNA from 1 species